rnacentral:piRNA from 1 species
CCCUACUUUAUAGUCUAUUGGUGUGAUG